GUCGGAGAUCGAACUGCGAGUGGAGGACCACAGCAUCCGCCUCAAGCUGGAGAUUGUGAUUGAGAUUCCCAAGAAGGAGCUCAUCUCCAAGCUCUGUUCUUCUUAUCGGUCAGGGUACUAGAUUGCGUAGCAUUUUGGUUUAUAAGACCCCUUGCCUUUUCAGCGCAUUGGGAUGAUUUUCUGCUGCUUUGUGACAAGCUGGAGCAAAUAAUUGCCUUGCAGUAUCGCUCUAGACAAGAGAAUCUCACUGAUGUCUAUGAGCUCUUCAAUCCUCUUGGCAAUGUCAAGAAGCUGGAAAGCUUUUCUGAA